GGUCAAGUGAAGAAGCGCAUACGGUGGAUGCCUUGGCAGUCAGAGGCGAUGAAAGACGUGGUAGCCUGCGAAAAGCUUCGGGGAGUCGGCAAACAGACUUUGAUCCGGAGAUCUCUGAAUGGGGGAACCCACCUAGGAUAACCUAGGUAUCUUGUACUGAAUCCAUAGGUGCAAGAGGCGAACCAGGGGAACUGAAACAUCUAAGUACCCUGAGGAAAAGAAAUCAACCGAGAUUCCCUUAGUAGUGGCGAGCGAACGGGGAUUAGCCCUUAAGCUUCAUUGAUUUUAGCGGAACGCUCUGGAAAGUGCGGCCAUAGUGGGUGAUAGCCCCGUACGCGAAAGGAUCUUUGAAGUGAAAUCGAGUAGGACGGAGCACGAGAAACUUUGUCUGAACAUGGGGGGACCAUCCUCCAAGGCUAAAUACUACUGACUGACCGAUAGUGAACCAGUACCGUGAGGGAAAGGCGAAAAGAACCCCGGAGAGGGGAGUGAAAUAGAACCUGAAACCGUAUGCGUACAAGCAGUGGGAGCCUACUUGUUAGGUGACUGCGUACCUUUUGUAUAAUGGGUCAGCGACUUAUAUUCAGUGGCAAGCUUAACCGUAUAGGGUAGGCGUAGCGAAAGCGAGUCUUAAUAGGGCGUUUAGUCGCUGGGUAUAGACCCGAAACCGGGCGAUCUAUCCAUGAGCAGGUUGAAGGUUAGGUAACACUGACUGGAGGACCGAACCCACUCCCGUUGAAAAGGUAGGGGAUGACUUGUGGAUCGGAGUGAAAGGCUAAUCAAGCUCGGAGAUAGCUGGUUCUCCUCGAAAGCUAUUUAGGUAGCGCCUCAUGUAUCACUCUGGGGGGUAGAGCACUGUUUCGGCUAGGGGGUCAUCCCGACUUACCAAACCGAUGCAAACUCCGAAUACCCAGAAGUGCCGAGCAUGGGAGACACACGGCGGGUGCUAACGUCCGUCGUGAAAAGGGAAACAACCCAGACCGCCAGCUAAGGUCCCAAAGUUGUGGUUAAGUGGUAAACGAUGUGGGAAGGCUUAGACAGCUAGGAGGUUGGCUUAGAAGCAGCCAUCCUUUAAAGAAAGCGUAAUAGCUCACUAGUCGAGUCGGCCUGCGCGGAAGAUGUAACGGGGCUCAAACCACACACCGAAGCUGCGGGUGUCACGUAAGUGACGCGGUAGAGGAGCGUUCUGUAAGCCUGUGAAGGUGAGUUGAGAAGCUUGCUGGAGGUAUCAGAAGUGCGAAUGCUGACAUGAGUAACGACAAUGGGUGUGAAAAACACCCACGCCGAAAGACCAAGGGUUCCUGCGCAACGUUAAUCGACGCAGGGUUAGUCGGUUCCUAAGGCGAGGCUGAAAAGCGUAGUCGAUGGGAAACAGGUUAAUAUUCCUGUACUUCUGGUUACUGCGAUGGAGGGACGGAGAAGGCUAGGCCAGCUUGGCGUUGGUUGUCCAAGUUUAAGGUGGUAGGCUGAAAUCUUAGGUAAAUCCGGGGUUUCAAGGCCGAGAGCUGAUGACGAGUCGUCUUUUAGAUGACGAAGUGGUUGAUGCCAUGCUUCCAAGAAAAGCUUCUAAGCUUCAGGUAACCAGGAACCGUACCCCAAACCGACACAGGUGGUCGGGUAGAGAAUACCAAGGCGCUUGAGAGAACUCGGGUGAAGGAACUAGGCAAAAUGGCACCGUAACUUCGGGAGAAGGUGCGCCGGCUAGGGUGAAGGAUUUACUCCGUAAGCUCUGGCUGGUCGAAGAUACCAGGCCGCUGCGACUGUUUAUUAAAAACACAGCACUCUGCAAACACGAAAGUGGACGUAUAGGGUGUGACGCCUGCCCGGUGCCGGAAGGUUAAUUGAUGGGGUUAGCGCAAGCGAAGCUCUUGAUCGAAGCCCCGGUAAACGGCGGCCGUAACUAUAACGGUCCUAAGGUAGCGAAAUUCCUUGUCGGGUAAGUUCCGACCUGCACGAAUGGCCACCCGAGACUCAGUGAAAUUGAAAUCGCUGUGAAGAUGCAGUGUAUCCGCGGCUAGACGGAAAGACCCCGUGAACCUUUACUGUAGCUUUGCACUGGACUUUGAGCCUGCUUGUGUAGGAUAGGUGGGAGGCUUUGAAGCGUGGACGCCAGUUCGCGUGGAGCCAUCCUUGAAAUACCACCCUGGCAUGCUUGAGGUUCUAACUCUGGUCCGUGAUCCGGAUCGAGGACAGUGUAUGGUGGGCAGUUUGACUGGGGCGGUCUCCUCCUAAAGAGUAACGGAGGAGUACGAAGGUGCGCUCAGACCGGUCGGAAAUCGGUCGCAGAGUAUAAAGGCAAAAGCGCGCUUGACUGCGAGACAGACACGUCGAGCAGGUACGAAAGUAGGUCUUAGUGAUCCGGUGGUUCUGUAUGGAAGGGCCAUCGCUCAACGGAUAAAAGGUACUCCGGGGAUAACAGGCUGAUACCGCCCAAGAGUUCAUAUCGACGGCGGUGUUUGGCACCUCGAUG
rnacentral:rRNA from 1 species